UUCUAGGAUAAGAUGUAAAUAAUUUAUCCUCAUCCUGAUUAAUAAGUCUAUAAAUGAGCACAGCUUGCUUCCCCUCUGCACUCACUCUUCAGCCAUACUGCUAAUCUCUCUCUCUCUCUCAAAUCUCUGUGUUUGAAGAUGAGAGGCAGCGGAUUCAGAUUGCCAUUGUUGAUAUGGGUGGUUAGUUUAUUGUGCGCGGAGUAUGCAACGGCGGCGACGAUACAUUUUGAUACUGGAGGACUGAGCCGAGAAAGUUUUCCGAAGAAUUUCGUAUUCGGAACGGCGACGUCGGCUUAUCAAGUCGAAGGAAUGGCAGAUAAGGACGGUCGUGGACCCAGCAUUUGGGAUGCCUUCGUUAAAAUCCCUGGGAUUGUUGCCAAUAAUGCCACGGGAGAGGUAUCAGUGGACCAGUAUCACCGCUACAAAGAAGAUGUAGAUAUCAUGAAAAAUUUGAACUUUGAUGCAUACCGGUUCUCAAUUUCUUGGUCCAGAAUUUUCCCAGAUGGCACUGGGAAAGUGAAUUGGAAGGGUGUUGCAUACUACAAUAGAUUGAUCAACUACAUGCUCAAAAGAGGGAUUACUCCUUAUGCAAAUCUUUAUCACUAUGAUCUUCCUCUGGCACUUGAGAAUAAGUAUAAAGGACUAUUGAGUCGCCAAGUAGUGAAAGACUUUGCUGAUUAUGCAGAUUUUUGUUUCAAGACCUUUGGGGAUCGAGUAAAGAACUGGAUGACAUUCAAUGAACCUAGAGUUGUGGCUGCACUUGGAUAUGAUAAUGGGUUUUUUGCUCCUGGAAGAUGCUCCAAAGCAUUUGGAAAUUGUACAGCUGGCAAUUCAGCAACUGAGCCUUAUAUUGUUGCUCAUAAUCUCAUUUUAUCUCAUGCAGCUGCAGUUCAAAGAUAUCGUGAAAAGUAUCAAGAAAAGCAGAAGGGGAGGAUAGGAAUUCUCUUAGAUUUUGUUUGGUAUGAACCUCUUACCAGAUCAAAAGCUGACAACUAUGCAGCUCAAAGAGCAAGAGACUUUCAUGUUGGAUGGUUUAUUCAUCCCAUUGUUUAUGGUGAGUAUCCAAGAACGAUGCAAGAUAUUGUGGGUAACAGGCUACCAAAGUUCACUAAAGAAGAGGUUAAAAUAGUGAAGGGCUCAAUUGAUUUUGUGGGUAUCAACCAGUAUACCACUUACUACAUGUAUGAUCCGCAUCAGCCAAAACCAAAGUACUUGGGCUAUCAGCAAGACUGGAAUAGUGGAUUUGCUUAUCAAAAGAAUGGAGUGCCAAUUGGUCCAAGGGUAAUUUGUUAUCAUUAUAUUGAUCUUUGACAAUUAAUGCAAGACUCACAUGAUUUUGAUUUCAUACUAAUUUAUUUAUUGAAUACUUAUAGGCAAAUUCUUAUUGGCUCUACAAUGUACCAUGGGGCAUGUACAAGGCUUUGAUUUACAUAAAAGAGCGCUAUGGAAACCCUACAGUGAUAUUAUCUGAAAAUGGUAUCCUUUAGUACCUAUUUAUCUUCUUUUUAGUUAGAUCUACAUCAGGUUUUUCAUGUUGUUUUCGUUGUCCCACAGCAGUUUGGGAUAAAGAAAUUUUGCUAAAUAAAAGUAUUUAGGCAAUCCUCCUUUUUAGCUAGUUUUGAAGUUGAGUUAGUUCCAGUUCAUUUUCUCUACAGUUUCUUUACUCCUUAAUCUCAUGCAGGCAUGGAUGAUCCGGGUAACGUCACACUUCCCAAGGGAUUGCAUGAUACCACUAGGAUCAACUUCUACAAGGGCUAUUUGACUCAGUUGAAGAAGGCAGUUGAUGAUGGAGCCAAUGUGGUUGGGUAUUUUGCUUGGUCAUUGCUUGACAACUUUGAAUGGAGAUUAGGCUAUACUUCAAGGUUCGGCAUUGUCUAUGUUGAUUUCACCAACCUAAAGAGGUAUCCCAAAAUGUCUGCCUACUGGUUCAAGCAACUGCUUACCAAGGAAAAACAUUAGCCGGUCACCAGUCUGUAUCUUUUGGAAUUUCAGUUUGCUUAGAGAAUAAUAAUGGUUUUGUAUUGAAGUAAUCAAUCCUUAAUGAAUUUGAAUUUGACUGUUUGAGACUCCUAUGUUGUGUUCAGGUUGUAUGUGGUAUUAGUUGUUUCAGAGCGCUUACCUAGUCAACAAAAUUAAAAUUAAUUCAGUUAUAUGAUUUAAUAAAUCAUGUUAGC
rnacentral:misc_RNA from 1 species